CGAUUGAUUAAAUGCAGUCUACUUUUCUUGAAAUACACUGCUGCUAAAGUAAUUGAGUGCCAAAAAGUAAAAUGUGCUUAGCCCCUAAAAUAAGGACUCGUCACUUAAAGUUUUUACUUCUAACAAUUGUAUAUCACUAGCUGUUUUUGACUUGAAAAUAAUUUCUCCUCUUUGAGUCAAGGUACAUAGCAAUACGAACAACACAAUGGCUUCAACUGCAACAAAGGCUGGUCUAAAGAAAUUGUUUGGAACUUAUGUAGCUAGUAAACGGGACAAAAAAAUAUGCAAAAACAUUUUGAUCAUAACAUGGCGUUGAAAUCAGCUUUUGCAUGUUGGUCAGAGAAACUUUGUUAUUUCCUAUUACUUUACCCUGAGUCAGAAAUCCCAGCUGAGGUAGAGAAAUGCGUGGAAUUUUACCUCUGAACAAAACGAUCUAAUAUAAGUUUGCCGGCAAACGUUAAAUGUCAAACAUACACAUAUUUCCUUGUUGAGGGUAGAACUUCAGCCACUGCUUCGAACCUUUCGUUAUUCAUGCUGGGAAGAUACAUCCAUGUAGAACCUCCCAUUAUAAAACACUCCACUGAACUGAGAUAAUCAUCAUCAUUCAUACCUCCCAUGACUACAAUUGUAUUUCCAGUAAUAACUGCACAACAUUCAUAUCUCUUCUCCAACAUGGAUGGUAAGGCUGUGAUCUUGCCCGUCUUGCAGUCAUACAUG